AUUGCAUGAAAAGAAUUUUUAAAUUCUUAAAAGAAUUCUAAUAUUGCUCAGGAUAUUACUUACGUUUAUACUGGCGUCUAAACAUUAUUAGCAGAGUAUGAGUAUCGGAAAAUUCCAUUAAUCUGUAUCGAAUUAGUAGCGCUACAAGCAUGCAUCCAUGUAUUGAUAUAUAUGCUGACAUCAUUUUGAGCUCCGGGGAAUCCCCGAACUUUUAGGGUAUUUUAGCCAAUGAAAUCAUAAUGACGUCACUCCCCCAAAAAAUCUACAUACAUGUUAGUCUGCAUGUUAGUUAUAUCGUAGUCGAAGAAGAAAUCGGCAAAAAUCAUUUUAUAAACAGAAAAUUGGAUGAAUUGCGAAAUAGUAUUAGCACUGAACACAUCUUAUGUCACGUACUAGGUCAAGUUAAAUAUCGGUAAAAAUCGCUCAUUUUGGCUGAGUUUCCUCAAGAAAAUUUGAAGACAUGACAGUGUACAGAAAAACUGUUUGAAUCGGUAAUCACUAUCGAAAUCCAAAAAAAUACUGCAUUAUAGCAAAUCCUUGUACCUUUAAUAUUUUUAUUCUAGCAUUAAAGGAAGAUCAGUCGUUCGGCACGUUUUAAACUCGUUCUACCGCAAUGACACAGCGGUUACAGAGGUUUACGUCAUCAGCAGUGUUUGACGUCUAUAUAACACGUGUACGAGCACUUUGCACCGUCAUUAAGUCCUUUGCAAAAAAGCGAAAGUUAUAUUUGAGCACUUCUAAUGACUACUGGUGGUUAUCGAAUCUGUGAAGAAGAUCGUCGAAAUAUCCACAGCAAAGAUCUUUGUGGUAUCUGCAGCAACGUCCUAAAGACUGCGAUCCAGACAGAAUGUGGACAUCGUUAUUGUCUUGACUGUUUGGAAGAAGAGUUUAACAAGCAUAAUGGCGAAAUAAAAUGUAAAAUCUGCGACGAAAUCCUGACAAGAACGAAGAUAUUCAGAGACAAGUUCGCGGACCGUGAGAUACAGACUCUCAUUUUGUUCUGUAUUAACUGUAUUAUUGGGUGUAAAUGGAGAGGACAAUUAAGACAUCGACAGGUAGGUAUUUUAGAAUUGGAUUGC